UAAAGGGACAGUAAGCUUUGAGGCGUUGGGGUUUUUUGUUUUUGUUUUUCCUUUUGCAAGGAACCAUUAAAAUGCGCAAUUUACUUUUCUCGUCUGCCCGAUUUAUUAUUGGCCUGGAAUCUUCGCUCAGCUUCUCACAUUAUCUGGAGCAGCUCUUCCAUUACGUAUUCCUGAGCUCUCGAUAAACCAGAUUAGGACAAACUGCUUAAAAAGAACCAGAAUCUAUGCAUUUAUAACCGAGAAGGUAAUUAUGGUGCAUGUCAUUAUUUCCCUUCUUACGUCAAUAUUUUACUCAGAUGUCAUCUUCUCUGAAAUGUUUACUUUGGUCUCAUUAAAUAAAAUUAAAAUCCCUGCCUCUCCCCCUCCCCGACUCUUCCUCUUCUUAACACGGAACACUGGCCUACUGUGUACCUAUCUUGUUCAUUAUACGCCUCCCCCAACCUCCGCAGAAUUUAAGGACCAUAAAGGUAAGGAUUUCCGCUGUUAUCUUCAUUGCUGUAUUCCCAUCUUCUAGGCUAGAGCUUAAAAUUUAUCAGACACUUACGCUCUCAGACCCCAGUCAGGUACAAUUCUUUGCCUAAUCUAAGUUGGGUAUCUCUCUCGUGCUAUUCUCCUUCCUAAUUGUCAGGCUAAAGGCUCAAGGCCAGGAUCUUAGAAUUCAAUUCAAUAUUAGACAGAAAAGGUGGACCCUAAGACCUUUUAAGACUGAGCAAAGGAAAAUUUGAAUAUAGUAGGAGCCGACCUGCCUUUCCUGAUUUAUCUUUUCACACACAACCCAGCCAGCAUUGGAGUGCAGAUGGGGAAGGCUCAGGCAGUGACAUCUCCGGACAUUUUCCUCUUUUGGAAGGAAAAUGUGUUAGACUGUAGCAACUAAAAUAGGCUCAAAUCUGUUUUAGCUCUGAGAGAGCAUGUUCUGUUAAGAUUUUGUGCUGUGCACAGUGGAUUAGACCAGACCCUGUUGUAACUAGCUGAUUUGGGAUCAUCUAGAGGUGUGAUUAGAAUCACACACAAAAAGUAGAUGGUAAAAGACCUAAAAGAGGCAAGAAUAAAAUGCUCUCAUUUAACAUGAGAGAAAUCUCAUGAAUUUUUUCUUAAUUUCAUUGGUAUUAUUUACUAUUUUAAUUUUUUAGACAGGGUCUUGAUACAUAGUUGAGUCUGGCCUUGAACUCGCUGUGUAGCCCAAGCUGGCCUCAAACUUGCAGCGAUCUUCCUGCCUCAGCCUCCCAAGUGCUGGCAUUAUAGGCCUGCACUACUGUGCUCAGCUUGGUACAUUUUUGAUAUACAUAAUUAUCACAUUUAUCAUAGGGAAUUUGUAUCUGUACAUAAUAUAUUUUGAUUCCUUUUUCCCCAUUCCCCUGCCAUCCCUUUCAACCCUUCUACCUGUAUUUGCAAAAGCUGUUUUUUCUUUACAUUUUUUUGCCUUUUUCCUUCCUUCCCCUCCUCUUCUCAUUUUCUUCAUACUUCCCAAUUUCUGUCAUUCAUUCUGAUCCUUAUUUAUCCUUUCAUUUUCUCACAAGAGAAAUACUGUGACAUCUAAAUGUGUGUGAUUUAUUUUGCUUGAAAGUAUGGUCUCAGAAAAAAAAAAAAGAAAGUAUGGUCUCAGGGUGCAUCUAUUUACCUAGAAAUGUCUCAAGUUUAUCCUUCUUUAUGACAGUGUAGUACUCCAUUGUGUGUAAAAUUCACAUCUUUUUUAUCCAUUAAUCCAUUGAUGGGCAUUUGGGGUGUUUCCAAGAUUUAGCUAUUACAAAUUGUGCUGCUGUAAACAGGGUGUAUAUAUAGAAUGAUUCCAUCUAAAUGGAAAAAAAUUUUUCGUUUAGGCUGGCCUUGAGCUCACUGUGUAGCCCAGGAUGGUCUUAAACUCAUGGUGAUUCUCCUGCCUCAGCCUCCUGCUUCAUCACUUUUACCCUUAGCCUCCUAAACACACAUUCGGUACUGCAUCAAAGUGUCAAAUUUGGGCACAGACUUGUAAAACCAUACCUGUAAAAAACAUGUUGUUUUCUCAUAAACACAAGUGCCAUAUUAUUUUUAGAAAGUGUUCUGAACUAGGAGUUAUAAAACCAGAUUUCCAAACCCAACACAGUGGUGCAUGCCUGUAAUUCCAGAAAUCCUAGCACUUGGGAGGCAGAGUCAGGGGAAUCACUGUGAGUUUGAGGCCAGCCAAGGGUACAUCGUUCAAGGCCAACCUCAACUUCAUAGAGAGAACCAGUCUCAAAAAACAAAACACCCUCCAAAUAAAUCCUUUUCAACAUAAACUUCUUUUUUUUUUUGUCUUUUUCAUUUUUAUCAGUACUGGGGAUCGAAUUCAUGACUGCCUGCUUGCAAGGCAGGCGCUUAUGCCGCUGAGCUAAAUCCCCAGCCCCUCAACAUAAACUUCUAUAAUUGAGUCAUUUCUUGGAUAGCCUCUCCUUCUGCCACAUUUCCAAUAAUUUAUUCAAAACUAACUUUUUGUUCAGCCUCAAAAAACAUGUCUAAUAGAACUGUUGAAAAAUAUAAAACUUGGGGCUGGGGAUUUAGCUCAGCGGCAUAAGCGCUUGCUUUGGAAGCAGGCAGUCAUGAGUUCGAUCCUUGGUACCUAUAAAAAAAUGAAAAAGACCAAAAAAAAUAUAUAUAUAUAUAUAAAACUUAACCUAUCUGCUUUGUACUGAUAUGGUAAUAGAAGCAUGUUAAUAAGGAAAAUACUACAAAAUAAUUUAAAUGGACUAAAAAAAGUGAUUCUUUCUUAGCUAUUUAUUUGUUUUUGAGACAGGGUCUCAAAGACUGGCCUUGACUCAUUAUCUCAUUAUGCAACUCAGGCUAGCUUGAACUUGUAUUUCUUCUGCCUCAGCCUCUGGCUUCUUUGCAUUAAACUUGAUGCUGCUUUUCAAUUUUUACUAAUGACUUUUUUUGACGAGACCGGGCGCGUUCAGGAUGGUAUGGCCGUAGACUAAUGACUUUUUUUUGGAAGCAGUCUCACUUUGUAGUUGAGGCUGGCCUCAAACUCAUGAAAAUCCUCCUGACUCAGCCUCCUGAGGGGAAGGACUACACAUAUGCACCACACGUGGCUGAUACUCUUAAUAUUUCAGUAUCUAUUCAUGUCUUAACUGUUGUCUUUAAAGACUACUGAAAAAAUAUUUUAACAGCAUUUUUUCAUAUUACUCUCUUAAGGAAUUAAUGGCUCUCUCCUUUUUUUUUAAGAUAGGAUCUUGUCACAUAGUUAAGGCUGGCAUUUGAACAAAUGGUGGCACAGGGUAGGCAUGAACUCACAGUGACCUUCCUGUCUCAGCCUCCUGAAUGCAGGGAUUACAGGGAUCGAACUUACGACUGCCUGCUUGCAAGGCAGGCGCUUAUGCCGCUGAGCUAAAUCCCCAGCCCCAGAAAAAAAUAAAUUCUUAAUGUUAAAAUAUGAAGGCUUGUGCUCUUAGAAGCAGGUAGUUUAUUCUUCCACCCAUACAAUAUAUGUUCAAGUUAUUCAUUGCAAAAAUGUUGAUAAUUGUAAAAGGUUAAAAGUAACUCAAAUAUUUAUCAAGAAGCAACUUCAUAACUUAUUUUACAAUAGAUACUACACAGAGAACUGCAAACUUAAACUCUCUAAUAUAUAGAGAAAAUUUUCUAUAAAAAAUGAAAAAUGAUAUAAAAUGCAAAAUGUUAAAUAAGCAUGCUUUCAAUUGUGUAUGUAAGGGAGCUGAGAAGGAACAUUUCCUUAUCUGCCUAUCUAUAUAUAAAAAGUUUCAGGGAAGCCAGUAACAGUGGUUGCUUCCCUGAGGAAAGCAGUAAGAACUGAGUGACUCGGCAAAGAGGUGGAAGGACAGUGUUAUGGUUUGUGUCUGGAUGUCCCCUGAAAGCUUCAUGUGGUCAGGCUUUUUGGAGGUGGUUGAAUUUAGAGUUUGUGAUUGGUUCAUGGCUCAAUUCUAGGACUAAGGGUGUGUGUGCUACACCUGCCUAGGGGUAGUAGCCAGCAAACCAUAUAAGGACAGAGUUUGUCUCUUCUCUCAUUGUUUUGCUGCCUUCUGCCUACCAUGAAUGUUACUCCUGUGAGCCUGUCUGCCUUGGAGCCAGCUGGUAAUGGACUUGAACCCUCUAUAAACUAACCUUAACUUGUGAGUAUUGGGUAUUUUGUCUCAGCUAUGAAAAAAUUAACUAAAAAAAGUAACUAAAAUGGCUUAUAAGAGGAAUUUUAAUAUUUAUUGAUUCCUGAACUAUAUGAAUAUAUUAUUUAAUAGAAACAUGAAUAUAACAUGUAGAAAUUAUAUAUGUUUUGAUUUUUUUCUCUAUCUUUUUGAGAUAGGGUUUCACUAUACUCUUUAGGCUGGCUUUAACUCAUGUUGUAGCCUAGGCUGGCCUCAAACUUGCAGUGAUGCUCUUGCCUCAGCUUCCCAAGUUCUGGGAUUACAGAUGUGCACCAUCAUGCAACAAUGCACCACUGCUGGCCUAGUUCUGCACACCAAUUAGUAUAUGGUACUUUUAAAUCAAAGGCACAAUACAUCAUUCUAGGCACAAUACAUCAUUCUACCCAAUUAUUCUUUUUUUUUUGUCUUUUUCCUUUUUAUUGGUACUGGGGAUCGAACUCACGACAGCCUGCUUGCCAGGCAGGUGCUUAUGCCGCUGAGCUAAAUCCCCAGCCCCUCCAAUUAUUCUUAGCAUGCAGGCAAAAUACUACCUUGCUAAUCAUUGUGAAAUAUAUAAUGUACUAUGUACUACUACGUACUAAUAUGUAAUGUACUAUAUACUAAUUAAUCUCUAUAUAGUACAAGAAACAGGAGCAGCUAUAUGGUAGAUUAUAAAUGAAUACUGACUAUAAUUACUAGUAGAUGGAAGGUGGCAGCCAAAAGCAGAAUAGGAGAGGUACUGACUUGUUUCCUACCACUCUCACAACAGAUUAGGUCUGGGCCAAAUGUAUACUUUGCAUCUAUCUUUUGAAAAACAGAAUUUUUUCCCCAAUAGUGGAUAUAUGAUAAUUAAAGACCACUAUUGAAGAAAGAGAUCUGCUGUGAUGGGGCAGCUACAUGGAAUGAACAAGAACAUUAAAGUGUUUAGGAAAUAAAAAUCAAGCCAAGAAGCUCUUGUAGAAUUUACUUUAUUUAGUAUGAGAAACAAAGUAUGACAACAAUGGUUGUAAAGGACAAAUCAAUGAAAAGUAGUAUGCGUUUUGGAAAACUAAAUGAUUUCUUCUUACACCUUAAGUUUCUGGGCAUGCAGAGGGUACUGCCUAGGAGUUUAAAUGCCCAAGGAAAAUGAGGGACAGUGAAGAGUUUGGUGUGGCUAAGACAUGACAUCUCAUUUGUUAUGUCCUGUUUCUUUCUAGCAGAAAGGAAACAAUGGUGGUGGGGAGAGAAAGAAUAAAUACCAAAGGGAUUUACUACACAAAUGUCCAUCACACGUUUUCAUUUGUUCCUUGCAAGAGCUAACCAAGAAGAGCAAGGCUAAUUAUGACAAUUGUCAUCUUGAGAAGAGCACUGGUCUUCAUAGGCAAAUAUGUCAAAUCUAGACAUUCUGAUUUGCCACAGAAGUAGAAAAAAAGACACAAAGUUUUAGGGAGAACCAAAUCACAAUACACUGGGCAGAGGUUGGUGUCAGGAGAUUACAGAGAGUAAUUCGAUGAGGGAACAGUCUAUGAUUGACCCACAUACACAAAGGGUGUCUUAGCGAAACUGAAGAGGACUGAUCCUUAGACCAAUCACAUCUUUGCCAAUCUCUGUCACCUGUGAAAGAGGAAAACCAAGGACUAAAUUAGAUUUGUGGAAUCCUACAGUUUGUUCGUAUGCCUCUCACUAAACAUUUGUUACUAAGACAAUGGAGCAAGAGAGAGAAGCUCUAGUUUUUUUCGAUAUCACUGCCCCAAGGGAAAGGGCCACGUGGUUCUCUUUCUCCUUCCUUUAGUGUAGAUACAUUCUUUUUUAAAUUUUAUUUUAGUACUAGGGCUUAAACUCAGGAAUUCAUGCUAAGAAGUCAGCAUGCCACCACUGAGCUAUAACUUCAGCCCUUUUGACUUUAUUUAUUUAUUGAGACAAUGUCUUGCUAAAUUACUUACACUUGUUUUGAAUUUGCAACUGUCUUGCCUUAGCCUCUUAAGUAGCUGGGAUUACAGGCUUGCACCUAGCUGUAGAUAUUCUCUUUUUUUUUUUUUUGAGAGAGAGGGUCUCACUAUGUAGUUUAGGCUGGCCUUGACUUACUGUGUAGCCCAGGCUGGCCUCAAACUCAUGGUGAUCCUCCUAUUUCAGGUUCUGCUGGGAUUACAGGCAUGUGCCACGCCUGGCUAUGCAGAUGCAUUCUUGAGGACAAUACUUACUGUAGUGACCCUGCAGAUCUGACCCUUGAACUCGGGGGAAUAGCAGGCUCCACUGAGUGGACACUUCUCCACUGGCUUUCCACGGUAGAUGGGCCGGUAAGAUGCAGCACAAAUGUCAAAAGGAUUGUGCAUGUCAUAAUUCAGCUGACAGGCAUCGGUGGGGUUCUUCUCACAGGCAGACAGGAUUUUUCGGGUCUAAGAAAGGGAAGGAGACUUUAUUUUAGAGGAUAGGAAAGCAGCACAGAACAAUUCAGAUGAUAUUACCAUGGUGUAGAAGUUUGAUGUAAGGUGCAAAUACAGCACAUGUUAAGAGUUAACAACUGCUACUCUUGUACCAAGGUUUCUUCUCUAUACCGAAGUGGCCUCACACAUCUGUACCUAAAAUUUUUCACAUUGUGGGGAUUAUCAGGGAAAGGCCCUAAAAAAGAUGAAAAUAGGUUUCCAUUGCUCAAUGGGAAUGCUUUGGAAGGAUACAAACAAUGGACCGUGUAUGUGAAUUAGUAGCAGUCAAGAUAGGCUAUCUGGAGUUUACAAUUAGGGUUAUUCUUGUCAGCUUUUCCUCAGACAAACAAUAUCUAGAAUAAAUAAAGAACUCAAAAACUCCCCUGAAUUUAAAGACUUGAUCAAAAGAUGGGCAUCUAAGCCAUGCAUGCUUAUAAUCCCAGUCUUCAUGAGGCUGAGGCAGGAGGAUUGUUGCAAGUUCGAGAUCAGCCUGGGCUAAAAAGUGAACUCAAAGUCAGCCUGAACUGCACAGUGAGGCCCUGUCUCAAAAAGACGGGAAAAAAAAAAAAGAGAGAGAGAGAGAGCCAUCUGAAAUGAAUAGCACUUCUCAGAUGAAGUACAAACAUGAAAUACAUGAAAAAAAUGUUCAACAUCUUGAAUCAUUAACUGAGAGGUGCAAAUUAAAACAAUGCUGAGACUCCAUGUCACUCUAGAAAGAAUGGCUAUCAUCAAUAAUCAAUCAAUAACAAAUGCUGGUGAAAAAGGGAACCUUCUCCACUGCUGGAAAUGCACACUGGUGAAACCAUUGUGGAAAUCAGUGUGGAGAUUCCUCAAAACACUAAAACUAGAUGUUUCAUUUGACUCAGCUAUUCCCCCUUCUUGGUAUUAUCCUGAAAGAAUUAAAAGCAUCAUACCACAGCAAUCUAUGCAUAUCCAUGUUUACAGUGGCACAAUUUAUAAUAGCUAAAUCUUGGAAAGAGUCCAAAUGCCCAUGACAGAUGCCACUUACUGCUGAAUGGAUAAAAAAGAUGUGGUUUUUUGCUACAAUGGAGUACUACUCAGUCAUCAGAAGGAUAAGUUUGAGACAUUUCUUGCUAAAUGGAUCCACCUUGAGACCGUACUCUUAAGUGAAAUAAAUUGGACACACAUGUUUAAAUAUUGCAUUGUUUCUCUGGUGUGAGAAACUGAAAGUGUAAGGACCAAAAUGUAUAAUUGGGAAAUGGAAAGAAAAUGUUCAAAUGAGAAGGGAAACUAUGGAGGAAGGAGGGAAAGGAAGAAAGAGACAAGAAAAAGAAAAAACAAACAAACAAACAAAUAAGAAAAACAUGUAAACAAAGUUUUAUAAUUAAGGAGGAGAAAAGUGGUUGAAGGGAGGGAAGGGGAAUGGGAAAAAAGCAGUAGCAAGAUACACCAUGUACAGGUAUAAAUCUCUUAUGAUGAACGCUAUCAUUAUGUUUAUCUAAAAUAUACCAAUGAAAAAUAAAUAUUUCCUUCAAAAAAGAUUGGGCCAGGUGUGAGGUGCAUGCCUAUAAUGCCAGCACUCAGGAGUCUAAGGCAGGAAUAUUGCUGUGAGUUUGAGGCCAGCCUGGGGUACAUCAUGAAUUCAAGGCCAGCCUGUACUGUAGUAGAUCCUACCUCAAAGAAUGAAAUAAAAUAAAACAUUGGGGUUAUUUACAGUCACACGAAUGCCAUAUGUAAAUAAUUACAACGGAGAGUGGCAUUCUGUUGACUCCUUUUUCUAGAAUGUUUUGUAGAAUAUAUAUACUUUUUUUCUUCUUUUCCUUUCAGAGGUUUGCCUUGCUCUUCCAAAAGCAGAUCUAGUUCUUACUGAAGGAGCUUGCACUCACCUGUUGAGCCACCUCAGGCUUAGGUCCAAGUUCCAGCAAGCGCCGAGCAAAGGUGGCAGCAGUCUUGAAGUUCUUAAGCUUGAAGAAGAGAUUGAGGGCUGUCCGCAGCACUAAGAUCAUGUGCACAGGCUGGAGGUUGGAGUGGGUGAAGUAGGCUGCCAUCUGGUGGACAGAAAGAGAGAGAUGCGUCAAGCUGGGGGAUGUCAUUUAUGAACUGCGGCACCUUCUUAAAAAAACAAAGUAAGGGGGGCUGGGGAUUUAGCUCAGCGGCAUAAGCGCCUGCCUUGCAAGCAGGCAGUCAUGAGUUUGAUCCCUGGUACCAAUAAAAAGGAAAAAGACAAAAACAAAAACAAAAACAAAAAAACAAAGCAAGGCAAACCAACAAGACCAGCUAGGUAAAACACAGAAGUCCUCUAGGUACUAUGCCUGGACAACUGCUGAAAUGUGAAGGAUGGAGAAAUAGCACCUCUACUUACAGAAAUAGAACAAAAUUCCUUUUCCUCCCCAGAGCCAGAUCUGGGAAUGGAACCAAAGAAUUCAGAUCUUAUGGAGGGUGCAGUGGAAAAUACCACUGCAAUGCUCAGAGUUCGACAGAUCUUACCUCACAGAUGCGCUUUUGCUGGUCUAGAGUCUCUUUGGGCAGCUUCUUCCUUUCUAUCUCCAUGGACAAACCCACAAUAUACUCCCGGCAAAUGGUGAUGAGCUGCUGGGCCUGGAGAAGUUGCCAAGGAAGGUCAUGGUACUGAGACAAUAACUUGAGGCCAUGGGGGGAGAACUAGCGUUGGGACAAAUGGUUACACUCCUCGUACCUCAGCAAUCUCCUGCUUAUUGUCUACAACGAGAAGUGGCACACUGAGUAAGAUGGAACGGAACUUUUCCACAGCCUCCUCAAACUUGCCAACUGUAGUGAGCUGGUAGCACAGCUGUAACCUCUGGAUGAGGUCAUUAAGCUUUAGGCCUAUAGCUGGCACACCAUUUUUCAGCCCUGCAUCCUUCCUGGAAAGGCAAAAGUAAGAGGAAAACAGGAUCAUCAGUAGCCAAGUUGAUUUCUUUUCCUGGCAAAUGUGACCACAAUUCACUGUGAAAGUAGCUGGAGAAUAGGGUGGCAGCAAGUAUAAAUUUAACCCCAUACAGUAGCAAAGCAAAGUUCUUCUCCAGUGAGGAAACCCCGUCUCUGGGACAAUCUGUGUCACUGAGGCUAAUGCCUGAAAUAAUCCACCCCAAUCUGGAACGGGAGAGGCAAGGAACUCACCAAUUGCGGCUGGGGUAGGCAUACAUGGAGGGCAGGCAGGGCAAAGCCUGAUAGGUAGUACGGCCUCGGGCAUAUGUCUGUAGGAAUAGUUGCUUGUAGGGGCCAAACUGGAUUACUCCUACCUGGUCAUGAAGCAGCUGGAAGAAUGACAGGAAAGAAAUACAAUCAUUUUGGCUCUACCACUAAGAACUAAUAUUACACAAUGGGUCCAUAAUUCUCUGUACUAGUUUUCUCAUCAGCAAAAUACACUUAAUUACUGUA